rnacentral:tRNA from 1 species
AUUAUUUUGGCAGAGUAAUUGUAUCAGUUUUAGAAAUUGAAUAGGGGAUAACCAAAUAAUA